AAUGAUGCCUACCAAGGUGCAUCUAAGCGGUUGGCCUCCCAGAGACCCCCACUCUCCAACAGAUGGCCCUGGUGGUGGCUGAGGAGCUGCUCCCCAGGAAAUGAGAGGAGGAAAUGACUUCUCACCCCACUUCCUUGAUUGAUCUAGCAGUUGGGGUAGCAAAAUCACAGUCCUGCCAGGUCUGAUAACAGAGCUGUCACGGUCAGAUUGGUCCUGGGAGCAGGUCCUGUCACUUUGCCUCUGUCAGCCUCCAUCUCUCCAAGAUCAUCACUGCUGGAGACAGCCAGAUGUGGGCUUGAGUCCCUGGGCAGCAGCUGACCAGUACACUGCCUUCUCUGAGGCUCAGUUUACCUUUCUGCCACGUGUGGACGAUAUCCCCCAUUCGCUUCCUAGGGCUGUUGCGACAACGUGCCACGAGCUGAGUGGCUAAAACAACAGAAAGGAGAAAGGAGCCAUUCAAGGUAUCUGUCACCCGGAGGAAAAGUUAACCCUUGCUGAGAAAAAGUCCUACAAGGAGUUGUUUUUCUGGUUUGAGCCUUUUUGAGGGAAUCUUGACUGUGACUAUCAUGUGGUACCUUCCUUGUCCGUAUGGCUAUGACUCACAGAUUUAUGUGAGUCACAAUUCUUCUGGAUUGAAGAAUUUUUUGAGAAAGAUGAAGUCAACAUAUGAGAAAGAAGCUAUAGAUAAUUUGCCAUGUGGGCAAUGGAGUGCAACAGCCUUUGAAUAAUAGCGGAGCUUGUGCCCAAGACAGUACACACCAAAUAUCCCUGCAAUUUCCAGCAUCCCUUGCAGGUAAGGUUACUGUGUGGCCAGGUGUGGCCAAUGCACCCUGACUGAAGCAACAUGACUCAUUUCCUGCCUGAGGCAGUUAUGAGUGGAUGAGACACUCCUCCUCUUCUGCGUGGUGACCACAGAUCACGUGUCUCCAGGGGAUGGGCAUGCACUUCCUCAUCCACCGUCUCCAUUUCUGGUCCCAGCACAUAGAAAAGUAUGAGGCACAUAGAAGGUAUCCAGAUAUGUGAUGCGGGAAAGGAUGAAUGAAUGAGAUAGUGGAAUUUAUACAGACAUUUUCAGUGUUUUUUCAUUAAGCAACUGAAACCAAAUCUUAUCCUUGGAAAAAGGUUUCUGUCGUGCUUGGAUCAAGUUGGGUCUUGCAAGGGUCAAGUUCCAUAAAUCCUUUCCUGAAGAGUCCAGCUGCUCGUGCCCGAGAGACUGCUGUGUCUCUCAAGUUUGCCUUCUUAUGACAAAGGCCUGUUUUUUAUAUGGUCAGAAGAAUUCUCCUCACAUCGUCUUUCACAAAAGCAGAGUUUUUAAUUCCAGUGAAAUCCAAUUCAUGAAUUUUCUUCCUUUUAUGGAUCAGGCUAUGAAUUCUUUGCCUAGCCCUAGAUCAGGAAGAGUCUCACCUAUCUUUUCUUCUAAAAGUUCUAAAGUUUUAUGUUUUUAUAGCUUUAUGUCUCCUGUUGAAUUAUAUAUAAAGUGUGUGAGUUCCCUUUUGCCUAUGGAUGUGUAAUUUCUCUAGCACUG